rnacentral:lncRNA from 1 species
CUUUCUAUGAAGGACCCCCACAAACAGAAGCCCCGCGCCCCAGACAAUAGCAUGCCGCGUGAAGAAGACCGGGGGUGUUCCGCGGGAUCCUUCUGUGGGCCUUCUUUGGAAUUUGAACCGGCAGAGCCACAAACAGCUCAGCUUGGGGCGAGAACAGGUGAGAGAGGAGAGGAUGCAACAGCUGCAGCUGGAGAUGACCUCUCCACAUGUCGCUCAGGAGUGCCUGAGGAAGACACCAGCUGUGAAGAAGCAGCACACGAGCCAGGAGCACAGCCACACCCUUCAAAACCUGCAGACCUAGAUACACAAGAGAGAAAACAAGCUGUCCGUGGCCCAGAAGCAAUUAGAGGAGGCCAAAAAAACAGCUCGCCCGACUGUAAGAAAGAGCUGCUGUGGAUGUCCAGCUGGCUGGCCUGGGAUCAGGUGAUUCUCCAGCUAAGGAUGGAGCUGCUGUCUCUGAGGAGAAGCACCGGGGAGCACAGAAGGAGCUGGUUCUUGCAGGAGGCUGAGGUCAGCAGGCUUAAUGAGAAGGUAAGGAGGCAGCAGGACCGCUUACAGGAGCUGAGCGAGAUGUGUCGCCAAGGAGACUCCCAGCUGGACCAGAAAGAGCGGGACAUGCAGCAGCUACAGAGUCAACUGCAGCUCGCCCAGCAACAGCUUCCGGCCGAAGCGGCAGGCUGGAUGGAGCGAAUGGAGAGAAUGAAGGAAGAUCUGGCCUCCUCUGGGCAGGGACAUGCUGCUGAUACAGAGCGCUGGAAUCAGAGGAAUCUGCUGCUGCAGAAGCAGCUCCAGCAGCUCCAGGAGCAGAACACCCAGCAUGCUCAGAGACAACCCCAGCCAGUCCCAGCAUGCACUGCAGCUCAGCCAGGGGAAGAUAAAGGAGUAUGAGGAGAUUCUGAAGGAGCGUGAUGAUGAGAUGAAACUUCAGUCCAGAGCCACCAGUCAACAACUGACAUCUUCAAACAGCGGAAACACUGCGGCUGUGGAGAAGAUACAACAACCGCAGACUCAGAGUCUGAGAAUGGAGGACGAGGCCCAGCUCUCUGUGAAGCAGUCUACAGUGUCGCUACAAGAUGAAAGUGAACCAAACGGAGCUCUGGGAGGAGGCAGUCGAGCAGCUAACGGAGGAGCUUCAUGCCGCUCUGGACAGCCUGAGGACGCGAGCAGAGGGAGGCCUCUGGUGUGUGGAGGAGAUGGAGAGAUUAAGAAUGAAAGCGGAUGGUCAGCAAAAGCAGUAAUGAGUUUGAUUCUCCUGCUGCUGUUGAGGGAUAGGCAUUCGG